rnacentral:rRNA from 1 species
UACGAAGGGGGCUAGCGUUGUUCGGAAUUACUGGGCGUAAAGCGCACGUAGGCGGAUUGUUAAGUCGGGGGUGAAAUCCUGAGGCUCAACCUCAGAACUGCCUUCGAUACUGGCAAUCUCGAGUCCGGAAGAGGUUGGUGGAACAGCUAGUGUAGAGGUGAAAUUCGUAGAUAUCGGGAGGAACACCAGUGGCGAAGGCGACUACCUGGCCUGUUCUUGACGCUGAGGCGCGAAAGCUAGGGGAGCAAACGGG